rnacentral:rRNA from 1 species
GACGAACGCUGGCGGCGUGCCUAAUACAUGCAAGUAGAACGCAGUUGCGAACGGGUGAGUAACGCGUAGGUAACUGCCUCAUAGCGGGGGAUAACUAUUGGAACCGAUAGCUAAAACCGCAUACUUUGAGAUGGACCUGCGUGGUAUUAGCUCGGUGGGGGGGGAAAGGCUCACCAAGGCGACGAUACAUAGCCGACCUGAGAGGGUGGACGGCCAAACCGUGACUUGGGCACGGCUCAGACUGCCACCGGAGGGAGCAGUAGGGAAAUCUCGGAAAUGGGCGGAAGGCUGACCGAGCCACGCCGGGGGAGUGGAGAAGGUUUUCGGAGCGUAAAGCUCUGUUGUUAGGGGAGCGGUAACUAACCAGAAAGGGCCGGCUAACUACGUGCCAGCAGCCGCGGUAAUUC